GCAACGGUUAUUAGUGGCUCGACG
rnacentral:piRNA from 1 species